rnacentral:rRNA from 1 species
AAGCGGAGGAAAAGAAACUAACAAGGAUUCCCCUAGUAACGGCGAGUGAAGAGGGAAGAGCUCAAAUUUUAAAUCUGCCUUGUUCCAAGGUCGAGUUGUAAUUUGAAGAAGCGUUUUCUUGGGCUCGCGGCCGGUAGAAGUUCUUUGGAACAGGACAUCAUAGAGGGUGACAAUCCCGUCCGUGACCGGUCGUGCGUUCAUCUACGAUACGCUUUCAAAGAGUCGAGUUGUUUGGGAUUGCAGCUCCAAACGGGUGGUAAACAUCACCUAAGGCUAAAUAUUGGCGAGAGACCGAUAGCGAACAAGUACCGUGAGGGAAAGAUGAAAAGAACUUUGAAAAGAGAGUUAAACAGUACGUGAAAUUGUUGAAAGGGAAACGAUUGAAGUCAGUCGUGCUGGCGCGAAAUCAACCCUCUCGUCUUGAGAUCACAUGGCGCGACGAGCCUCAAAACCGUCACGAAGCGUGAACUCUUGACGAAAAGGUGCACUUUCGUGUCCGCUGGUUAACAUCAAUUUCGAACGUCAUAAAAAGGCUGGAGGGAUGUGGCUCCUUCGGGAGUGUUAUAACCUUUAGCGGAAUGUGGCGUUCGGGAUUGAGGAUUGCAACGAAUACCUUCAGGGCUGUUCCACCUGGCUUCUCAUUGGUAUCCUGGUGACGACAGCUUGCUGACGUCGUUAGGAUCAGCUUCUGAACAGGCUAGAGUGUGAGCAAAUUCGUUAAGGAUGUUAACGUAAUGGCUUUAAACGACCCGUCUUG